CCCAACCAAGGUGAACUGGGCUCAAGCUUCUUUGGGGAGGCAGACGAGGCUGCAGGAGGCCAUGUGAGUGGCAUCUGCAUAUGUCCAACCACUGCCAUUGUCUCUGUUCUAGAUUAAUUAGAUGCUGGUUUGUCUUUAGCAAUUUUGGAAUACCCUUUACACCCCAGGUGCUCAAAGCAACCUGCUUGGAAAUAGCAUAAAUUAUGGGGCCCAGAGAACAUGUUCCAGAGCACGGGCCUGGGUUUCUACAUUAUUACAUCAUUUUAACUACGCCUCUACCCUCUUCCCCAAUUACAAGUGGCAAGGGAGGAAGACAUAAUUAUUGGGAACACAUCUCUGAAGACAAAUCAGAUGCCCUAGCCCUCUGUGACUGUUUUCUGUUGAUGUUUGGAUUGUGAGCCUAGCCUUUAAUGGCUGAGCCAUCUCUCCAGCCUGUACUAUUUUGUAUAUAUAUCAGCAAAACCUGACAUUAUAUUCCUGAUUCCUGAAAGACCUCUUGUUUGGUUGAAAAUAGCCUUUGAGCCCAUGCUCUAGAAUCUAGAAUUUGGAGUCUAGAUACUUACUCAGGAAGUCACAAUGGGCCUAGGGAUCUGCAUGUUAGCAAGAUUCUCCAGGGCUGCUAAUGCUGGGAGUACUGAAGGCUGGUGGAUUCACACCUUGGGGGAAAGCAGAGAGUUUCCUUGGCAACAGAUGACUAAUUUAGAAGUCCCUGUGAACAGGUGGGAGACAGGAAAGGACAUGAGAAGCAACACAUCCGUAGGUGCCAAGUUUAAACAACAAGCUCCCGACAGACUCAGGGUAUUUUUUAUCACAGCGGCAUAAACGAAACUAGGACACUGACCUACACACUAAAGGCUGAGGAUCUCUACAAUGGGCUGUUCCUCAUUCCUAGCCAUGGGAGGGCCAUUUGGGAAUAAAGGCACUUCCUCUUACUCCAACAAA